UUUUAUAGCUAUAUGUACCUGGAAGAUUAGAUAACAAACUGUUAUCAGAAAACAUCUUAGUGCAACAGGAUGGGCAGCGCGAAGAUUGUUGGCCAAGAUUAAAUCAUGAAUUUUCUCAACACUCCUAUGAAGUCGUUAAAGGAGAAGUAGAGAAAGAAUGACAAAAAGUUAUAUAUUAAAAGCAGCAAGUUUGGACCUCCCUGGUGGCAC